GAUCACAGAUCCAGGAGAAACUGAAGUCUGUAUUUCUGCUAGAUCAUUAUUCAGAGUGAUUGUGAUUAUUGUUGAGUUUGCGGUGUUUGCUGCUCCUACUGUGAUUCUUCUUCAGAUCAUCUGUGCAAGAAGAGCUGAGAGGAAGGACUCGCAGCAGCCAGAGGAAAUAGAGAUUAAUACAAUAAUAGAAUAAAAUACUCUACAAAUAACAGGCCAGAUUAAAGCAAGAUUUAUCUUCAUCUCUAUGAAUUUUGUGGAUAUUUGCAAACAGUUUUGAAGGAUCUUUUCCAGUGCUCCAUGCUGUACUGAAUAAAUACAAUAUAAUAUUAAAU